rnacentral:rRNA from 1 species
AGCAGCAGCCGCGGUAAUACGUAGGUGGCGAGCGUUGUCCGGAUUUAUUGGGCGUAAAGGGAGUGUAGGCGGUCUUUUAAGUCUGGUGUGAAAGCCCACGGCUCAACCGUGGAGGGUCAUUGGAAACUGGGAGACUUGAGUGCAGAAGAGGAGAGCGGAAUUCCAUGUGUAGCGGUGAAAUGCGUAGAUAUAUGGAGGAACACCAGUGACGAAGGCGGCUCUCUGGUCUGUAACUGACGCUGAGGCUCGAAAGCGUGGGGAGCAAACAGGAUUAGAUACCCCUGUAGUCCCUGUCUCUUAUAC